rnacentral:tRNA from 1 species
GGACAUGUAGCUCAGCCGGUAGAGCGCUUCGUUCACACCGAAGAGGUCCCCCGUUCGAGUCGGGGCAUGUCCACCG